rnacentral:misc_RNA from 1 species
UCACACUAUCAAGCUUGGCUUGUUGUUGGGCCCUUUGUCACCUGGUGACAGGUCCCAAAGACAAUAACCGGUGUCAUACAGACUCUAUAUGCAACGAGCUUAUCACAGCACGCAUCUGGUAGUCGUAUGGCCCGGUUCUCACUUUGGUAAAUAUAUUUUUCAA